rnacentral:lncRNA from 1 species
GGACUAUUGGGGCGUUACAGAUAUUAAGUAUCCACCUCCUCUUCCACUACUCUUUUAUAUAUAGGGUUGUUGAUUGCUCUCUUUUUAGAAUGAUUUUGAUUUUUUUUCCAUACACAAAGCUAAUGCCUUCUAGUAGCUCCCGAUAGAGGAACUGGGGCAUAUUGCAACUCUAUAGUUCAAUCAAAUUGAUUCUUUUGAAAUCUAAAAAGAUGGUUUGUCCAACCAUUGGCGAUGACCCAUGUAACAAAACUUUUCCCCAUGCUUUAACCAACAUGAAUAAGUUGAAUUUCCACAACAAGGGCAAGCAACGCGCCUUUUAGUGCUCCAACCAGAUAGGUUGGCAUAUGCUGGGAAAUCGCUAAACGUCCAAAGAAGAGCUCCUCGCAAAUUAAAAUUUUGCUUGCUAAAAGCAUUAAAAGCUUCAACACCUUCCCAUAACUGUUUUCAUUCUUCUAUUAGAGGUUGCAAAUAAAUAUCAAUAUCAUUACCAGGACCUUUUUCACUAGGAAUUACUAUAGAUAAGAUAAAUAAUGAUCGUUUUAUGCACAACAAUGGUGGUAAUAUAUGGAAUCAACAGAAUUGGACAAGUGGUUAUAAGUGGAAUUCAUUGUUCGAAAUGAAUUAAAUCCAUCGCUAACGAGACCGAGCCUAACAUUGCGAGGAUCAAAAGCAAAAUCUGGAUAACGAGAGAAAUGAUUUCCAUACUAAGCCAUCUGUUGGGUGUCGUAAGUUUCCAUCUUUUGUGCGUCCCUCAAUAUGCCAUCUCAUAGAGGCAGCGAUCUUUGAUGACAUGUAAAGUUGUUUUAAUCGUGGAAUAAGAGGAAAAUAGCGCAAUACCUUGACUGCCUUUUCUUUACUGAGCAUAUUAUCCUUUUUACUCAAAAAGUUAGUGUCACAAUCUUUAUUUUUGACCCAUCAUGAAGAACCACAUACAUGACAAGAGUCUUGAUUCGCCCUUUCACCCCAAUACAACAUGCAAUCAUUGUUACAAGCAUGAAUCUUCU